GGCAUUAGCCACUGCACCUGGCCUAGUUUUGAUGUUUCUAAGGAGAGCUCACUUUUGCAAAGAUUAAAGUCAUUAAAAAUCUUUGAAUUGAAAAUUACAGAUUUUUUUCAACCAAACUUACAAAAUAUUAUUUACUAUGAGAAUAUUCAGAUGUUGACUUGUUCCCUCCCCUUCAAAUUACAAAUGACUGUUAGGUUGUCCCCAUGGCAUAGAUUGCUUUUCAGAGAAUAUUUUCCUUAGAGUCUGUCUGUGUUUUAGAGAAAACUACUAAUGUGCCCAUCUCUUUAUCCUAGGUAUUUAUUACAGUAUCAGGAGCCAAUACCUUGUGAGCAGUUGGUUACAGCGCUGUGUGAUAUCAAACAAGCUUAUACACAAUUUGGAGGAAAACGUCCCUUUGGUGUUUCAUUGCUGUACAUUGGCUGGGAUAAGCACUAUGGCUUUCAGCUCUAUCAGAGUGACCCUAGUGGAAAUUACGGGGGAUGGAAGGCCACAUGCAUUGGAAAUAAUAGCGCUGCAGCUGUGUCAAUGUUGAAACAAGACUAUAAAGAAGGAGAAAUGACCUUGAAGUCAGCACUUGCUUUAGCUAUCAAAGUACUAAAUAAGACCAUGGAUGUUAGUAAACUCUCUGCUGAAAAAG
rnacentral:lncRNA from 10 species